rnacentral:tRNA from 1 species
GGUUGUGGCUCAGUGGUAGAGUGGUUGCCUUGCAUGUGUGAGGCCCUGGGUUCAAUUCUCAGAACUG